ensembl:snRNA U6 U6 spliceosomal RNA
GUCUUCACUUCAGCAGCACAUAAACUAAAAUUGGAACGAUACAGAGAAGAUUAGCAUGGUCCCUGCACAAGGACGACAUGCAAAUUCGGAAAAGGUUUACACACAGAA